GUCUACAGCCAUGCUACCCUGAACAAGCCCAAUCCUGUCUGAUCUCGGAAGCUAAGCAGGGUCAGGCCUGGUUAGUACUUGGAUGGGAGACCACCUAGGAAGACCACGUGCUGUAGGUG
rnacentral:rRNA from 1 species